rnacentral:rRNA from 1 species
AUACGUAGGGUGCAAGCGUUAAUCGGAAUUACUGGGCGUAAAGCGUGCGCAGGCGGUUUUGUAAGACAGUGGUGAAAUCCCCGGGCUCAACCUGGGUACUGCCAUUGUGAAUGCAAGGCUGGAGUGCGGCAGAGGGGGAUGGAAUUCCGCGUGUAGCAGUGAAAUGCGUAGAGAUGCUGAAGAACACCGAUGGCGGAGGCAAUCCCCUGGGCAUGCACGUAAGGUCAGACACGAAAGCGGGGGGAGCAAACAGGAUUAGAUUCCCUGGUAGUCCACGCCCGAAACGAUGUCAACGUGUGGUUGGGGAUUUAUUUUCGCAGUAACGAAGCUAACGCGUGAAGUUGACCGCCUGGGGAGUACGGCCGCAAGGUUAAAACUCAAAGGAAUUGACGGGG